AUGCCGCGUGGAAGCCGAAGCCGCACCUCCCGCAUGGCCCCUCCAGCCAGCCGGGCCCCUCAGAUGAGAGCUGCACCCAGGCCAGCACCAGUUGCUCAGCCACCAGCAGCGGCACCCCCAUCUGCAGUUGGCUCUUCUGCUGCUGCGCCCCGGCAGCCAGGUCUGAUGGCCCAGAUGGCAACCACUGCAGCUGGCGUGGCUGUGGGCUCUGCUGUGGGGCACACACAGGGUCACGCCGUUACCGGAGGCUUCAGUGGAGGAAGUAAUGCUGAGCCUGCGAGGCCUGACAUCGCUUACCAGGAGCCUCAGGGAACCCAGCCGGCACAGCAGCAGCAGCCUUGCUUCUAUGGGAUCAAACAGUUUCUGGAGUGUGCCCAGAACCAGGGCGACAUCAAGCUCUGUGAGGAUUUCAGUAAGGUGCUGAAACAGUGCCGACUUGCAAAAGGAUUGGCCUAA
rnacentral:lncRNA from 1 species